UGAGGGUCCAGUGAGAAACCAGGGACAUCUGUCAACCAUUUUCUGCCUUGGCACAAACUAAAGAUUGGCCCUGAAAUGUAUCCACAGAUGGUCUCGUUUCUUGUCUCUGUAGCCGUCUUCCUCAUCCACUGGACGUGAGCCCGGGACAGAUCCGCCAGCCCCCGGCAGAGUGUGCUCCCUCUGACUCCCCUGGGAAACACCUUACACAUCUCGCUUCUCAGCUGCACAAAGAGGAAAACAUGACAGCUUUGAAGAAUGACUUGGGAAACCACCUUGAGGAUUCUGAGCUGGAAGUAGAGCUUCUCAUUACCCUGGUUAAAUCGGAAAAAGGAAGUCUGGGUUUCACAGUAACCAAAGGCAGUCAGAGUAUUGGCUGUUAUGUCCAUGAUGUCAUACAGGAUCCAGCCAAAGGUGAUGGAAGGCUAAGGCCUGGAGACCGGCUUGUAAAGGUUAACGACGCAGAUGUUACAAACAUGACCCACACCGAUGCGGUAAAUCUGCUGCGAGCUGCGCCCAAAACUGUCCGACUAGUUAUAGGGCGGAUUCUAGAGUUACCCAGGAUGCCCGUGUUUCCCCAUUUGCUGCCUGACAUCACAGUCACGUGCCACGGAGAGGAGUUGGGAUUUUCUCUCUCCGGAGGCCGUGGCAGUCCCCACGGAGUGGUGUAUAUCAGUGAUAUCAACCCGAGGUCAGCUGCAGCUGUGGACUGCAGUCUCCAGCUGUUAGACAUCAUCCAUUAUGUGAACGGAGUCAGCACACAUGGAAUGACCUUGGAAGAAGCAAACAGGGCCUUGGACCUCUCCCUUCCUUCAGUGGUGCUGAAAGUAACAAGAGACGGUUGUCCCGUGGUGCCUUGUUCAACGAGAUCUGCCAUUUCUGCUCUCAGGCCCCUCGAAGCCAACGGUCUUAGCAGCAUGGAGCCUUAUGGACAGCCCGCACUCACGCCUAAGAAAUCCUUCUCCAAGGCAAGAACGAAAGCUUUCUUUCAUGUCGCAUCUACUUUUAAUAACCAGUGCGCUUAA
rnacentral:lncRNA from 14 species